ensembl:lncRNA
GAGGGAUAUUUGCAAAGAAAAGGCAUGAUUUUCGGGUUAAAUGGGGGAUUUUUCAAGAGAAAAUGUGUGAUUUUCAGUUAAAUCGCGGCAUCUCUAAGAGAAAAUGCCUGAUGUUUGCAUUAAAUGUGUGAUUUUCAGGUUACAUGGGAGAUUUUUGAAGAGAAAAUGCAUGAUUUUCGGGAUAAAUGAGGGAUUCUUGAAGAGAAAAUGCGUGAUUUUCGGGUUAAAUGGGGGAUUCUGGAAGAGAAAUGGCAUUUUCUUCUGGUUAAAUGGGGGAUUUUCGAAGAGAAAAUGCACGAUUUUCGUUUACAGGUGAGAUUUUUGUUGAGGAAAUGCGUGAUUUUUUGGAUACAUGGGGGAUUCCUGUAGCAAAACUGUUUGAUUUUGGGGUCCAAUGGGGGAUUUUUGAAGAGCAAAAGUGUGAUUUUCGAGUUAAAUGGGGGAUUUUCCAAGAGAAAAUGUGUGAUUUUGGGGAUGAUGGGGUAUUUUUGAAGAGAUAAAGCAUGAUUUGGGGGUAAAUGCGGGAUUUUCCAAGAGAAAAGGUGAGAUUUUGGGGUUAAAUGGGGGAUUGUUGAAGGGAAAAUGUGUGAUUUUCAGUUAAAUCGCGGCAUCUCUAAGAGAAAAUGCUUGAUGUUUGCAUUAAAUGUGUGAUUUUCAGGUUACAUGGGAGAUUUUUGAAGAGAAAAUGCAUGAUUUUCGGGAUAAA